rnacentral:rRNA from 1 species
AACGAACGCUGGCGGCAGGCUUAACACAUGCAAGUCGAGCGCCCCGCAAGGGGAGCGGCAGACGGGUGAAUAACGCGUGGGAAUCUACCCAUCUCUACGGAAUAACGCAUGGAAACGUGUGCUAAUACCGUAUACGUCCUUCGGGAGAAAGAUUUAUCGGAGAUGGAUGAGCCCGCGUUGGAUUAGCUAGUUGGUGGGGUAAAGGCCUGCCAAGGCGACGAUCCAUAGCUGGUCUGAGAGGAUGAUCAGCCACACUGGGACUGAGACACGGCCCAGACUCCUACGGGAGGCAGCAGUGGGGAAUAUUGGACAAUGGGCGCAAGCCUGAUCCAGCCAUGCCGCGUGAGUGAUGAAGGCCCUAGGGUUGUAAAGCUCUUUCACCGGUGAAGAUAAUGACGGUAACCGGAGAAGAAGCCCCGGCUAACUUCGUGCCAGCCGCCGCCGUAAAAC